AGGGGGCGGGACUGCAGCGGCCCCGCGGCCGGGAGGGGGAAGCGACGACUCGGGGACGAUGAUCUGUGACCACUUGGGAUCAAAAUGAAAGACAAGAAGAAAACAAAUGAAACCCCUGAGGCUGAGAUGAAC
rnacentral:lncRNA from 1 species